rnacentral:misc_RNA from 1 species
UUUGUAAGCCAUCGGCUCAUCUCUUGGCCCAUGCUCGGUUACCUGACCCUCGGAUGCUGAAAAUUAAGUGGGCAAGGGGUUGAGAAACCCCUCCGAUAAGCCCGAGCCUAGCGCUCGUCGCUCGAACCGAAAGACGUUGUGGCUCGCCUUGGUGUUCUUGAACCAUGGGUUCUCGUAACGGCCAUGC